rnacentral:rRNA from 1 species
AAUAGAUACCCGGGUAGUCCACGCCGUAAACGUUGGGCACUAGGUGUGGGUCUCAACCAACGAGAUCCGCGCCGUCGCUAACGCAUUAAGUGCCCCGCCUGGGGAGUACGGCCGCAAGGCUAAAACUCAAAGAAAUUGACGGGGGCCCGCACAAGCGGCGGAGCAUGCGGAUUAAUUCGAUGCAACGCGAAGAACCUUACCAAGGCUUGACAUACACCGGAAACUUCCAGAGAUGGUUGCCCCGCAAGGUCGGUGUACAGGUGGUGCAUGGUUGUCGUCAGCUCGUGUCGUGAGAUGUUGGGUUAAGUCCCGCAACGAGCGCAACCCUCGUCCUAUGUUGCCAGCGGGUCAUGCCGGGGACUCAUAGGAGACUGCCGGGGUCAACUCGGAGGAAGGUGGGGAUGACGUCAAAUCAUCAUGCCCCUUAUGUCUUGGGCUUCACGCAUGCUACAAUGGCCGGUACAAAGGGCUGCAAUACCGCGAGGUGGAGCGAAUCCCAAAAAGCCGGUCUCAGUUCGGAUUGGGGUCUGCAACUCGACCCC